CAUUUCUCGAACGCUUACUCUUAAGAAAUUGCUUUGAGUUGAAAGAGAUGCCAGAGUGGAUUGGAGAUAUCAUCACACUCCAGUUAAUUCAGUUGGAGUAUUGCUGCGCUUCCCUUGUGGGUUCUGCUUAGAGGAUUAAAAAAGAGCAACAUGACAACUACGGAUAUGAUAUAGAAGUUAAAGACUCCAAUACUCAACGAGAUGAGGACCAUGCUAAAGAAGAAGAUUGUUCCAACGAACAGACCUGUGAAGUUGAAAGCGUCUGCCAUGGUUUGACAAGCCUUUGGUUUGAAGCAAGGAAGCUAAGGAUCAGCUGGGGUCAUAAUCCUACGUAUUGGAUUUGGACUUCUGACUUGGGCACCGAGCAUGAGGUUGCGAAGCUAGAGAAAGUUAGCGCAUUCGAUAUCGGAUUAUCGUUUGACAUUCGGUACUUAUAUAAGAUGAGUUGUUAUUUUGCGUAUCUUGUGUUCAAGCUUGAAGAGAGUGGAACCUUUCAAGAUGUUUAUACAGCAUUGGCAGCUGUGAGAUAUGAGAAGGACAACGCCAGAUACGGCUGGAUG